AUGCGGAGCCGCCAAGGGGUGGCGCAUCCACGCCGUCGCCGGGAAAGGAGGUGGGCGCUCUCUUCUCCACUUGCUCUCUUCCGCUCCGCCGGGGUGUCGAUUCUCUCCGCGCUCUUGGGGCCUUCUCCUUGUUCCGUCCAAAGUCCAGGGGAUGCCUUGUUAGUGAAAGCUCCCAUGGAUGCUGUGGAGAACGCUGUCGCCCCCGCCGCCCCGUCAACGGUGGCAAAUGGCACUUCUUCAGCAAUCACCGUCGAGGAAUUUGAAGAUUUAGCCUCUCUAGUGAAGGAUGAUGAGGCGUCGGUUAGCAUCACCGUAGUUGGAGCGUCUGGUGACCUUGCGAAGAAGAAGAUAUUUCCUGCCCUUUUCGCUCUUUACUAUGAAGGUUGUCUUCCCAAGCAUUUCUCCAUCUUUGGCUAUGCGCGGAGUAAAAUGACAGAUGCUGAACUGAGAGACAUGGUCAGCAAAACACUGACUUGCAGGAUUGAUAAAAGGGAGAACUGUAGUGAGAAAAUGGAAGAGUUUCUGAAACGAUGCUUCUACCACUCAGGUCAAUAUGACUCAGAGGAAGAUUUCAGGGAGCUAGGCAAGAAGAUCAAACAACAUGAGGGUCCCAGAGUAUCUAACCAUCUUUUCUACUUGUCGAUACCUCCAAAUAUAUUCCUGGAUGUUGUAAAAUGUGCAAGCAAAUCAGCAUCAUCUGUGAGUGGCUGGACAAGGGUAAUUGUUGAAAAACCCUUUGGCCGGGACUCAGAGUCUUCUGCUGCCCUAACGAAAGGUCUGAAGCAGUACCUGACAGAGGACCAAAUCUUCAGGAUUGACCAUUACUUGGGAAAGGAACUGGUGGAGAACUUGUCUGUCCUUCGCUUCUCGAAUCUUGUUUUUGAGCCUCUGUGGUCAAGGCAAUAUAUUAGGAAUGUGCAACUGAUAUUCUCGGAAGACUUUGGCACUGAAGGGCGAGGAGGGUACUUUGAUAGCUAUGGUAUUAUCCGAGACAUAAUGCAGAAUCAUCUUCUUCAGAUACUAGCUCUAUUUGCAAUGGAAACUCCUAUUAGCUUGGAAGCAGAGGACAUACGAAAUGAGAAGGUUAAAGUUUUGCGCUCCAUGAAGCCAUUGCGACUAGAAGAUGUGGUAAUAGGACAGUAUAAAAGUCAUACAAAGGGUGGUAUUACAUACCCUGGAUACACUGAAGAUAAGACGGUGCCCAAGGGUAGUCUGACUCCAACAUUUGCUGCAGCUGCGCUUUUUAUAAAUAACGCUAGAUGGGAUGGAGUUCCCUUUCUCAUGAAGGCUGGAAAAGCUUUGCAUACUAAACAGGCUGAGAUUAGAGUACAGUUUCGACAUGUUCCUGGAAAUCUCUACAAGGGGUCUUUUGGAACCGAUCUUGACAGGGCUACUAAUGAACUUGUGAUACGCGUGCAACCAGAUGAAGGAAUUUACCUAAAGAUUAACAACAAGAUUCCUGGUCUUGGUAUGAGACUAGAUAGGAGUAAUCUGAAUCUUCACUAUGCAGCAAGGUACCCCAAGGAGAUACCAGAUGCGUACGAGAGGCUCCUGCUCGACGCGAUAGAAGGAGAGCGAAGGCUCUUCAUCCGGUCGGACGAGCUGGACGCGGCGUGGGAGCUCUUCACGCCCCUCCUGAAGGAGCUGGAGCAGAAGCGGAUGGCCCCCGAGCUAUACCCCUACGGGAGCCGCGGGCCCGUGGGCGCCCACUACCUGGCAGCCAAGUACAAGGUGAGAUGGGGCGACCUGGGUGGCUCGGAACACUAG
rnacentral:rRNA from 1 species